AUUCCAGCUCCAAUAGCGUAUAUUUAAGUUGUUGCAGUUAAAAAGCUCAUAGUUGGAUUUCGGGCGAUGUCGGCCGGUCCGCCGUUGCGGUGUGCACUGGCUGGCGCCGUCUUCUUGUCGAGGAUGCGGUUCUGGCCUUCGUUGGCUGGGGCGUAGAGUCGGCGCGGUUACUUUGAAAAAAUUAGAGUGUUCAAAGCGGGCUAACGCUUGAAUAUAUUAGCAUGGAAUAACACUAUAGGACUCCGAUCCUAUUUUGUUGGUCUUCGGGACUGGAGUAAUGAUUAAGAGGAACAGUUGGGGCAUUCGUAUUUCAUUGUCAGAGGUGAAAUUCUUGGAUUUAUGAAAGACGAACUUCUGCGAAAGCAUUUGCCAAGGAUGUUUUCAUUA
rnacentral:rRNA from 1 species